UACGUAGGGGGCAAGCGUUGUCCGGAAUCAUUGGGCGUAAAGCGCGCGUAGGCGGCUUGGCAAGUCGGGCGUGAAAUGCCGGGGCUCAACCCCGGGACUGCGUCCGAUACUUCCGAGCUGGAGGUAGGUAGGGGAGAUCGGAAUUCCUGGUGUAGCGGUGAAAUGCGCAGAUAUCAGGAGGAACACCGGUGGCGAAGGCGGAUCUCUGGGCCUUACCUGACGCUGAGGCGCGAAAGCUAGGGGAGCGAACAGG
rnacentral:rRNA from 1 species